GUAGGUGGCAAGCGUUGUCCGGAAUUAUUGGGCGUAAAGCGCGCGCAGGCGGUUCUUUAAGCCUGAUGUGAAAGCCCACGGCUCAACCGUGGAGGGUCAUUGGAAACUGGAGAACUUGAGUACAGAAGAGGAAAGCGGAAUUCCACGUGUAGCGGUGAAAUGCGUAGAGAUGUGGAGGAACACCAGUGGCGAAGGCGGCUUUCUGGUCUGUAACUGACGCUGAGGCGCGAAAGCGUGGGGAGCAAACAGGAUUAGAUACCCUGGUAGUCCACGCCGUAAACGAUGAGUGCUAAGUGUUAGGGGGGUUUCCGCCCCCCUUAGUGCUGCAGCUAACGCAUUAAGCACUCCGCCUGGGAGUACGGCCGCAAGGCCG
rnacentral:rRNA from 1 species